UCCGGUUUAACACCGGCAGUCUCGUUAGAGUGCCCGGCCGAACCGCUGGCAACUAACGACAAGGGUUGCGCUCGUUGCGGGACUUAACCCAACAUCUCACGACACGAGCUGACGACAGCCAUGCAGCACCUGUGUUCCAGCUCCCUUUCGGGCACACUCAAAUCUCUAAGAGCUUCUGGACAUGUCAAGGGUAGGUAAGGUUUUUCGCGUUGCAUCGAAUUAAUCCACAUCAUCCACCGCCUGUGCGGGUCCCCGUCAAUUCCUUUGAGUUUUAACCUUGCGGCCGUACUCCCCAGGCGGUCAACUUCACGCGUUAGCUUCGUUACUGAACAGCAAGCCGUCCAACAACCAGUUGACAUCGUUUAGGGCGUGGACUAC
rnacentral:misc_RNA from 1 species